AACGCGAAGAACCUUACCUGGGCUCGAAGCGCAGUGGACCGGGGUAGAAAUAUCCCUUCCUCGCAAGAGGCUGCUGCGGAGGUGCUGCAUGGCUGUCGUCAGCUCGUGUCGUGAGAUGUUGGGUUAAGUCCCGCAACGAGCGCAACCCUUAUCCCUAGUUGCCAUCGGGUCAAGCCGGGCACUCUAGUGAAACCGCCUGGGAUAACCAGGAGGAAGGUGGGGAUGACGUCAAGUCCUCAUGGCCUUUAUGUCCAGGGCUACACACGUGCUACAAUGGUCGGUACAAACCGUCGCAAACUCGUGAGAGGGAGCUAAUCGGAAAAAGCCGGCCUCAGUUCGGAUUGGAGUCUGCAACUCGACUCCAUGAAGCUGGAAUCGCUAGUAAUCGCGGAUCAGAACGCCGCGGUGAAUACGUUCCCGGGCCUUGUACACACCGCUCGCGA
rnacentral:rRNA from 1 species